rnacentral:rRNA from 1 species
UACGUAGGGGGCAAGCGUUGUCCGGAUUUAUUGGGCGUAAAGCGCGUGUAGGCGGCCAGGUAGGUCAGUUGUGAAAACUCGGGGCUCAACCCCGAGCCUGCAGUCGAUACGGGCAGACUAGAGUGCUGUAGGGGAGACUGGAAUUCCUGGUGUAGCGGUGAAAUGCGCAGAUAUCAGGAGGAACACCGGUGGCGAAGGCGGGUCUCUGGGCAGUAACUGACGCUGAGGAGCGAAAGCGUGGGGAGCAAACAGG